GACGAACGCUGGCGGCGUGCCUAAUACAUGCAAGUCGAACGCUGAAGGAGGAGCUUGCUUCUCUGGAUGAGUUGCGAACGGGUGAGUAACGCGUAGGUAACCUGCCUGGUAGCGGGGGAUAACUAUUGGAAACGAUAGCUAAUACCGCAUAAUAGUAGAUGUUGCAUGACAUUUGCUUAAAAGGUGCAAUUGCAUCACUACCAGAUGGACCUGCGUUGUAUUAGCUAGUUGGUGGGGUAACGGCUCACCAAGGCGACGAUACAUAGCCGACCUGAGAGGGGGAUCGGCCACACUGGGACUGAGACACGGCCCAGACUCCUACGGGAGGCAGCAGUAGGGAAUCUUCGGCAAUGGACGGAGGUCUGACCGAGCAACGCCGCGUGAGGGAAGAAGGUUUUCGGAUCGUAAAGCUCUGUUGUAAGAGAAGAACGAGUGUGAGAGUGGAAAGUUCACACUGUGACGGUAUCUUACCAGAAAGGGACGGCUAACUACGUG
rnacentral:rRNA from 1 species